AGGGAUAUAUCUCAGCAGCUCAGUGCCUGCCUGGCAAGCAUGAGGUCCUGAGUUUGAUCCCCAGUAUCCCCC
rnacentral:tRNA from 1 species